rnacentral:lncRNA from 1 species
GGGGUCCUAGCGCCGGGAAUGGGACGCGGGGAGCCGCCCCGAGCCCCCGGACAUGGCGCCCAGUGCCGGAGACGACGGAUCGGCGGUUAGACGGAGGAGGCGCUGCACCCUCUCUCUCUGCUUUCUCUCAGAACUUACCAGGGAAGAACGAGGGCACGAGGGAAACUGGCGGCGCUGGGGAGGAAAGGAGAGGGAACCCUAGGGCGGAGGAGGAGGUCUCGGGCUCCUUUUAACGCCUCGGGAGGCGAGCUC